UUCCCCGAGCCCUCACCCGCACCUCUCUUCUCCCUCACUCCCGAACCCGACGCCAAAAGCCCUAACCGCCGGUGCCGGCGGUUUCUUCCUCUGCGCCGAUACCAGCCGCCUCCCUUCUCUUCUCAUCAUUCCUUGCGACGCACCCUUCUGCCCGACAUCGCCGUCGUCGUGCCCUAGCACCGCGGCCGACCCAUCUCCUCACUUCUUCUCUGUCUCGGUGCCCUAGCCGUCGACGACACACGGAGCCAGCGCCGCACCCCCUGUGCCUUAGCCAUAUCCGGUAGAAUGGCUUUCCCUCUUCCUCCCGGGCCGCACACAGGCGCCUCUGCCCAAGCCACCUCGCGCCGCCACCACAGCCGAUAGCCGGCCGCCACUGAGCCCUGCCGAAGCCGCUGCCUCACUAGACCAGAGCAGCGAUGUCGCCUCUGCCCUAGCACUCCUGUUUUCACCACAGCCGACGCUGCCACUUGUUGUCGCUCCUCAACCCUAGUGCCGACCCAUAUUUUCUCUGCCCUAGCCGAAUCUUGAAGGUCACGGAUUGGUGAGGUUUUAUAUAUUGUGGGGUGUUUUUGAUUUCGGCAGUAACCCCAUCCUGCAGCAGUAAGGUAAGUGCUUGGUUUAUGGAGUGAGUUGGCACACUUUUGAUACAUGCUCUAGGUAUGAAUUGAUACAUAACUAAUUUGGUUAUAGGGUGAUUUAGGUAUGUUAUGUUAUUGUACAUGAUAAAUUGUAGUCAUGUUUCGAAUUUGAUAUUUGUUAGGUAUGAUAAUUUUUGUUGUAGAUAAAUUAUAUUCGAUAGUUGAGAUUGUUCUUGGGUUAUAAUAAUUGGAGUUCAGAUGACCA